rnacentral:rRNA from 1 species
AGUGAACGCUGGCGGUAGGCCUAACACAUGCAAGUCGAACGGCAGCACAGUAAGAGCUUGCUCUUACGGGUGGCGAGUGGCGGACGGGUGAGGAAUACAUCGGAAUCUACUUUUUCGUGGGGGAUAACGUAGGGAAACUUACGCUAAUACCGCAUACGACCUACGGGUGAAAGCAGGGGAUCUUCGGACCUUGCGCGAUUGAAUGAGCCGAUGUCGGAUUAGCUAGUUGGCGGGGUAAAGGCCCACCAAGGCGACGAUCCGUAGCUGGUCUGAGAGGAUGAGCAGGCAGACUGGAACUGGAUCACGGUCCAGACGCCUGCGGGAGGCAGCAGUGGGGAAUAUUGGACAAUGGCCGCAAGCCUGAUCCAGCCAUUCGGCGUGAGUGAAGAGCGCCUUCGGGUUGUAACGCUCUUUUGUUGGGAAAGAAAAGCAGCGGGUUAAUACCCCGCUGUUCUGACGGUACCAAAAGAAUAAGCGCCGGCUAACUUCGUG